rnacentral:rRNA from 1 species
GGAGAGUUUGAUCCUGGCUCAGGACGAACGCUGGCGGCGUGCUUAACACAUGCAAGUCGAACGAUGAACCUGGAGCUUGCUCUGGGGGAUUAGUGGCGAACGGGUGAGUAACACGUGAGUAACCUGCCCUUGACUCUGGGAUAACCUCCGGAAACGGAAGCUAAUACCGGAUAUGACGUACGGAGGCAUCUCCUGUGCGUGGAAAGAAUUUCGGUCAAGGAUGGACUCGCGGCCUAUCAGGUAGUUGGUGAGGUAACGGCUCACCAAGCCUACGACGGGCUAACUACGUGCCAGCAGCCGCGGUAAUACGUAGGGUGCAAGCGUUGUCCGGAAUUAUUGGGCGUAAAGAGCUCGUAGGCGGUUUGUCGCGUCUGCUGUGAAAACCCGAGGCUCAACCUCGGGCCUGCAGUGGGUACGGGCAGACUAGAGUGCGGUAGGGGAGAAUGGAAUUCCUGGUGUAGCGGUGGAAUGCGCAGAUAUCAGGAGGAACACCGAUGGCGAAGGCAGUUCUCUGGGCCGUAACUGACGCUGAGGAGCGAAAGCGUGGGGAGCGAACAGGAUUAGAUACCCUGGUAGUCCACGCCGUAAACGUUGGGCGCUAGAUGUGGGGACCAUUCCACGGUUUCCGUGUCGCAGCUAACGCAUUAAGCGCCCCGCCUGGGGAGUACGGCCGCAAGGCUAAAACUCAAAGGAAUUGACGGGGGCCCGCACAAGCGGCGGAGCAUGCGGAUUAAUUCGAUGCAACGCGAAGAACCUUACCAAGGCUUGACAUAUACGAGAACGGGCCAGAAAUGGUCAACUCUUUGGACACUCGUAAACAGGUGGUGCAUGGUUGUCGUCAGCUCGUGUCGUGAGAUGUUGGGUUAAGUCCCGCAACGAGCGCAACCCUCGUUCUAUGUUGCCAGCACGUAAUGGUGGGAACUCAUAGGAGACUGCCGGGGUCAACUCGGAGGAAGGUGGGGAUGACGUCAAAUCAUCAUGCCCCUUAUGUCUUGGGCUUCACGCAUGCUACAAUGGCCGGUACAAAGGGCUGCAAUACCGUAAGGUGGAGCGAAUCCCAAAAAGCCGGUCUCAGUUCGGAUUGAGGUCUGCAACUCGACCUCAUGAAGUCGGAGUCGCUAGUAAUCGCAGAUCAGCAACGCUGCGGUGAAUACGUUCCCGGGCCUUGUACACACCGCCCGUCAAGUCAUGAAAGUCGGUAACACCCGAAGCCGGUGGCCUAACCCUUGUGGAAGGAGCCGUCGAAGGUGGGAUCGGUGAUUAGGACUAAGUCGUAACAAGGUAGCCGUACCGGAAGGUGCGGCUG